UGGCCUAUAUCGCUAGGAGAGAACUGC
rnacentral:piRNA from 1 species